rnacentral:lncRNA from 1 species
CAAAAUUAUCUGCUGAUGGGUCGUCGAGUAAAUUCGAUAAUUUGACAGAAAAGAGGUCCCCUGAUGUGGUUGUGGAAGAUGAGGGAGGUGAUUAUGUGCCGGGUGAAGAUGAAAAUGGCUGAACUGAUGUAAGAUGUGAGCCCGUUGUCGACUUUUUACAUGCUCAAGUUUUUUAGUGAUGUAAGAUGUGAGCCCGUUGUCGACUAGUACGUAAAGAUGGACACGUGGCGGUAGGUAAGGGGAGGGCACGUUGUUCGAGGUUCCAGCUUUAAAUGUUCCGGUAAGUAGGUUGAUUUCUGGCUAUAUAUAUCGGUGUAGUUUUAUGUUUUGAUAACUUUGCUUAGGUGAAGUGGUACUGCAACUGUUAAUAUCUGCGUGUGUGCGAAUUCUAACUUUUGUGUGGCUGUUGUUUUAGUGCAGGAAGGGUCGAUCCCGACGAAUGUUUUUGAUUUGUCCGGCGCUAUGAGUAGCUUGUCCGGGGAUUUCUUCACUGGGUUGUCUAGCGACGCGGAUCUGACUAAAGGGUUGCCUUCCCAUGGGGAUAGUGGAGAGGACCUGGCUGAAGUUACUCGAGGGGAG